AAGUCGCGAAUGCGAUAAGAGAUCCCACUAGAACCGAGGCCUAUCAUUUAUCCCUCCUCAGUGGAUAAAUGGAAGUGGAAAGUUUGCUCGCGAGCAACCGAUUAAUCCGAGAGGGUUCAUCGGUGGAACUAGGUGUCUGACGUUUUUGAUUGAGAUCGAGCAACUUUCGCCUAGAGAUGAGACGAAUCUUCUGCCUCCCACACUCGCUACUAGGAUCGACCGCCAAGGCGAUAAUUAUUUCGACGUAGCUGAACAGCUUCCGCGCCUCAAGAAUACGUAGUAUGUGGAUGGUCCGUGUCUGACUGUGUUGAUCUACUUUAGAGGCGGAUUAAUUUCACCAGCUGCGUCUCGCGCAAAUAAGUAUAGAUAAGUUUGUUGAUGAUAUUCGUCUAUAAGAGUAGAAAUUCUUAUCGAAACGUGUAACGCGUUGAUGAUAAAUUGAAUUGAUAAAUAUAAUUAAUAAUAAAUUCGUAGUUGCGGCAUGUUCGAAUUGAAUUUGAUACCGGG
rnacentral:misc_RNA from 1 species